AGUGAACGCUGGCGGUAGGCCUAACACAUGCAAGUCGAACGGCAGCACAGUAAGAGCUUGCUCUUACGGGUGGCGAGUGGCGGACGGGUGAGGAAUACAUCGGAAUCUACUUUUUCGUGGGGGAUAACGUAGGGAAACUUACGCUAAUACCGCAUACGACCUACGGGUGAAAGCAGGGGAUCUUCGUACCUUGCGCGAUUGAAUGAGCCGAUGUCGGAUUAGCUAGUUGGCGGGGUAAAGGCCCACCAAGGCGACGAUCCGUAGCUGGUCUGAGAGGAUGAUAAGCCACACUGGAACGGAGCCACGGUCACGACUCCUACGGGAGGCAGCAGUGGGGAAUAUUGGACAACGGGCGCAAGCCUGAUCCAGCCAUACCGCGUGGGUGAAGAAGGCCUUCGGGUUGUAAAGCCCUUUUGUUGGGAAAGAAAAGCAGCAGGUUAAUACCCCGCUGUUCUGACGGUACCCAAAGAAUAAGCACCGGCUAACUUCGUG
rnacentral:rRNA from 1 species